rnacentral:miRNA from 1 species
UAAUACUGUCUGGUAACCCGU